rnacentral:rRNA from 1 species
AUUGAACGCUGGCGGCAGGCCUAACACAUGCAAGUCGAGCGGAUGACGGGAGCUUGCUCCUUGAUUCAGCGGCGGACGGGUGAGUAAUGCUUAGGAAUCUGCCUGGUAGUGGGGGACAACGUUUCGAAAGGAACGUUAAUACCGCAUACGUCCUACGGGAGAAAGCAGGGGACCUUCGGGCCUUGCGCUAUCAGAUGAGCCUAGGUCGGAUUAGCUAGUUGGUGGGGUAAUGGCUCACCAAGGCGACGAUCCGUAACUGGUCUGAGAGGAUGAUCAGACACACUGGAACUGAGACACGGUCCAGACUCCUACGGGAGGCAGCAGUGGGGGAUAUUGGACAAUGGGCGAAAGCCUGAUCCAGCCAUGCCGCGUGUGUGAAGAAGGUCUUCGGAUUGUAAAGCACCUUAAGUUGGGAGGAAGGGCAGUAAGUUAAUACCUUGCUGUUUUGACGUUACCGACAGAAUAAGCACCGGCUAACUCUGUGCCAGCCGCCGCAGUAAGAC